GACGAACGCUGGCGGCGUGCCUAACACAUGCAAGUCGAGCGGAGAUACAGGGGCUUGCCCCUGUAUUUUAGUGGCGGACGGGCGAGUAACGCGUGAGGAACCUGCCCUUCAGUGGGGAAUAACGGCUGGAAACGGUCGCUAAUACCGCAUGACACAUGGGUACCGCAUGGUACUGAUGUCAAAGGAGCAAUUCGCUGAAGGAUGGCCUUGCGUCCGAUUAGCUAGUUGGUGGGGUAACGGCCUACCAAGGCGACGAUCGGUAGCCGAACUGAGAGGUUGAUCGGCCGCAUUGGGACUGAGACACGGUCCAGACUCCUACGGGAGGCAGCAGUGGGGGAUAUUGGUCAAUGGGGGAAACCCUGAACCAGCAACGCCGCGUGAGGGAAGACGGCCUUCGGGUUGUAAACCUAAGUGAUCAGGGAUGAAGGAAG
rnacentral:rRNA from 1 species